GCUCCUUAAACUGGUGUCCAUUCUGUUCCCGACCUCAGAUUUCCGUCACGCUGUCACCACUCCAGCUAUUGUCUUUAUCACACAAAUGCUGGCAGAGACUUCAGUGAAACAUGAGAGGGAUGUAGCUGUGGGUCUGUUUCUGUGUAGCCUGGUGCUGGAGUAUGUAUCCUUAUCAAAAAGAUAUGUUCCAGAGUGUAUAAACUUCUUACAUGGAAUGCUGUUCUUGGCAUCAAACAAAGCUCCCAACAAAU